rnacentral:piRNA from 1 species
UGGAGAAAGCUAAGGCUACCACCACC